AUUGAACGCUGGCGGCAUGCCUUACACAUGCAAGUCGAACGGCAGCACGGGAGCAAUCCUGGUGGCGAGUGGCGAACGGGUGAGUAAUAUAUCGGAACGUGCCCGGUCGUGGGGAUAACGUAGCGAAAGCUACGCUAAUACCGCAUACGAUCUACGGAUGAAAGCGGGGGAUCGCAAGACCUCGCGCGAUUGGAGCGGCCGAUAUCAGAUUAGGUAGUUGGUGGGGUAAAGGCUCACCAAGCCAACGAUCUGUAGCUGGUCUGAGAGGACGACCAGCCACACUGGGACUGAGACACGGCCCAGACUCCUACGGGAGGCAGCAGUGGGGAAUUUUGGACAAUGGGCGCAAGCCUGAUCCAGCAAUGCCGCGUGCAGGAUGAA
rnacentral:rRNA from 1 species